CAGAUACAGUUUACAUGACCUUUUGUGGAUUGCUAAUACAUGGAAUGUCUGUUUUUUCACAAAAUCAUGGUAUUUUUUGUUAAAACACCCCUGCUAUAUGCCCUUUCAGAUAACAAUUGACAACUUCUAAUACUUUACUUUCAUCUUCCUGAAACACUUCAUGUUGUAGAUGGAUGUAGAUUUUAAAACCUCCAACUGCUUGCAAGAAAUU